UACCGCGGUUAUACGAGAGGCCUAAGUUGAUAGACACCGGCGUAAAGCGUGGUUAAGAUAACAGAAACAACACUAAAGCCGAACACCCUCAAAGCUGUUAUACGCACUCGAGGGUAAGAAGCCCAAUUACGAAAGUAGCUUUACCCCUCUGAACCCACGAAAGCCAGGGCA
rnacentral:rRNA from 1 species